rnacentral:rRNA from 1 species
CCGGGUGUGCAGUGGGUACGGGCAGGCUAGAGUGCAGUAGGGGAGACUGGAAUUCCUGGUGUAGCGGUGAAAUGCGCAGAUAUCAGGAGGAACACCGAUGGCGAAGGCAGGUCUCUGGGCUGUUACUGACGCUGAGGAGCGAAAGCAUGGGGAGCGAACAGGAUUAGAUACCCUGGUAGUCCAUGCCGUAAACGUUGGGCACUAGGUGUGGGGUACAUUCCACGUUUUCCGCGCCGUAGCUAACGCAUUAAGUGCCCCGCCUGGGGAGUACGGCCGCAAGGGCUAAAACUCAAAGGAAUUGACGGGGGCCCGCACAAGCGGCGGAGCAUGCGGAUUAAUUCGAUGCAACGCGAAGAACCUUACCAAGGCUUGACAUACACCGGACCGCCCUAGAGAUAGGGUUUCCCUUCGGGGCUGGUGUACAGGUGGUGCAUGGUUGUCGUCAGCUCGUGUCGUGAGAUGUUGGGUUAAGUCCCGCAACGAGCGCAACCCUUGUCCUAUGUUGCCAGCACGUAGUGGUGGGGACUCAUGGGAGACUGCCGGGGUCAACUCGGAGGAAGGUGGGGAUGACGUCAAAUCAUCAUGCCCCUUAUGUCUUGGGCUUCACGCAUGCUACAAUGGCCGGUACAGUGGGUUGCGAUACUGUGAGGUGGAGCUAAUCCCUAAAAGCCGGUCUCAGUUCGGAUCGAAGUCUGCAACUCGACUUCGUGAAGUUGGAGUCGCU